UACAGAGGGUGCAAGCGUUGUUCGGAAUUACUGGGCGUAAAGCGCGUGUAAGCGGUUUUCUAAGUCAGGUGUGAAAGCCCCCGGCUUAACCGGGGAAGUGCGCCUGAAACUGGAAGGCUUGAGUAUCGGAGAGGAAAGGGGAAUUCCCGGUGUAGAGGUGAAAUUCGUAGAUAUCGGGAGGAACACCGGCGGCGAAGGCGGUUCUCUGGGCCUGUACUGACGCUGAGGAGCGAAAGCGUGGGGAGCGAACAGG
rnacentral:rRNA from 1 species